rnacentral:rRNA from 1 species
CAGUAGCCGCGGUAAUACGUAGGGUGCAAGCGUUACUCGGAAUUACUGGGCGUAAAGCGUGCGUAGGUGGUGGUUUAAGUCCGUUGUGAAAGCCCUGGGCUCAACCUGGGAAUUGCAGUGGAUACUGGGUCACUAGAGUAUGGUAGAGGGUGGUGGAAUUUCCUGUGUAGCGGUGAAAUGCGUAGAUAUAGGAAGGAACAUCAGUGGCGAAGGCGACCACCUGGACUGAUACUGACACUGAGGUGCGAAAGCGUGGGGAGCAAACAGGAUUAGAUACCCCCGUAGUCCCUGUCUCUUAUAU